CCGGUAAACGGCGGCCGUAACUAUAACGGUCCUAAGGUAGCGAAAUUCCUUGUCGGGUAAGUUCCGACCUGCACGAAUGGCGUAAUGAUGGCCAGGCUGUCUCCACCCGAGACUCAGUGAAAUUGAACUCGCUGUGAAGAUGCAGUGUACCCGCGGCAAGACGGAAAGACCCCGUGAACCUUUACUAUAGCUUGACACUGAACAUUGAGCCUUGAUGUGUAGGAUAGGUGGGAGGCUUAGAAGUGUGGACGCCAGUCUGCAUGGAGCCGACCUUGAAAUACCACCCUUUAAUGUUUGAUGUUCUAACGUUGACCCGUAAUCCGGGUUGCGGACAGUGUCUGGUGGGUAGUUUGACUGGGGCGGUCUCCUCCUAAAGAGUAACGGAGGAGCACGAAGGUUGGCUAAUCCUGGUCGGACAUCAGGAGGUUAGUGCAAUGGCAUAAGCCAGCUUGACUGCGAGCGUGACGGCGCGAGCAGGUGCGAAAGCAGGUCAUAGUGAUCCGGUGGUUCUGAAUGGAAGGGCCAUCGCUCAACGGAUAAAAGGUACUCCGGGGAUAACAGGCUGAUACCGCCCAAGAGUUCAUAUCGACGGCGGUGUUUGGCACCUCGAUGUCGGCUCAUCACAUCCUGGGGCUGAAGUAGGUCCCAAGGGUAUGGCUGUUCGCCAUUUAAAGUGGUACGCGAGCUGGGUUUAGAACGUCGUGAGACAGUUCGGUCCCUAUCUGCCGUGGGCGCUGGAGAACUGAGGGGGGCUGCUCCUAGUACGAGAGGACCGGAGUGGACGCAUCACUGGUGUUCGGGUUGUCAUGCCAAUGGCACUGCCCGGUAGCUAAAUGCGGAAGAGAUAAGUGCUGAAAGCAUCUAAGCACGAAACUUGCCCCGAGAUGAGUUCUCCCUGACCCUUUAAGGGUCCUGAAGGA
rnacentral:rRNA from 1 species